rnacentral:rRNA from 1 species
AACGAACGCUGGCGGCAUGCCUAACACAUGCAAGUCGAACGAUUGCCUUCGGGUGAUAGUGGCGCACGGGUGCGUAACGCGUGGGAAUCUGCCCUUAGGUUCGGAAUAACAGCUGGAAACGGCUGCUAAUACCGGAUGAUAUCGCGAGAUCAAAGAUUUAUCGCCUGAGGACGAGCCCGCGUUGGAUUAGGUAGUUGGUGGGGUAAAGGCCUACCAAGCCGACGAUCCAUAGCUGGUCUGAGAGGAUGAUCAGCCACACUGGGACUGAGACACGGCCCAGACUCCUACGGGAGGCAGCAGUGGGGAAUAUUGGACAAUGGGCGCAAGCCUGAUCCAGCAAUGCCGCGUGAGUGAUGAAGGCCCUAGGGUUGUAAAGCUCUUUUACCCGGGAAGAUAAUGACUGUACCGGGAGAAUAAGCCCCGGCUAACUCCGUG